UUUUUUUUACAUAAGCAAUUUCUGGCGUCGUAAUAAAUGAAAAGCAAUACCUAAAUUAAAUUGGACAUGAUUAUUAAAGAUAUUUAUCGUAUUAUACUUAAAAAUAGUAAAAAACUCAACAAUAAUUCUACACCGAAACUAAUUACCAAUUAUAUAAGGAAGCUUAUUGACAAUAAUGAAGUUACAGCCUCUAGAUAUUGUAGAGAUAAAAAUAAAGUAGAAAUGCUUAUUAAAAAUUAUUCAGAUUACACUACAAAUAUAUUGCGUUAUAAGGAUUUGUGCGCUAAAUAUUAUAGCUCCAAAGAAGUAACAGUGGAACAAGCAGCUAAAAGAAUGGGUUUUGAAUUGCCUAAAUCGAAAUGAUAUUACAUAUGUUUAAAUAAAACGUUUUAAGAAGUUUGCAAUCAGAACCAAAAUUUAUAAUAAAAUUUUGUUAUUUAUAAUAAAAUUUUGUUAUUUA